UACGUAGGUGGCAAGCGUUGUCCGGAUUUACUGGGCGUAAAGGAUGCGUAGGCGGGUGUUUAUGUGAGAUGUGAAAUACCCGAGCUCAACUUGGGUGCUGCAUUUCAAACUGGAUAUCUAGAGUGCAGGAGAGGAAAGCGGAAUUCCUAGUGUAGCGGUGAAAUGCGUAGAGAUUAGGAAGAACACCAGUGGCGAAGGCGGCUUUCUGGACUGUAACUGACGCUGAGGCAUGAAAGCGUGGGGAGCAAACAGG
rnacentral:rRNA from 1 species